GCUCAGUCCUCUUCGGAAAGGCAGACACUGAAAGGCUUAACACAGUUUUAGAGAGGUGCUGCAGAAGCAGACUGCGUUCACCGCUAAUUAACGACCCAUCAGCAGCAGCCAAUCAGAGCUCUCCGUGCGCGAGGUGAAGAGUUCAGUGGCAGAGUGGGUACAGGUUCACCUGGGAGAGAUGCGGACGGAGACAUUUAAAAAACUUUAGACUUUGGACGGGAAAUGUGAGGCGAGCCGUGCGGCAUACACCACUGCUCAGGUGCUGCAGAAGCAGACCUGGGGCCUCAGAGCUCUCUGUGCAAGGUGAAGAGUUUGCUGGCAGAGAGACUGCAUGAAGCAUGGAGAGAUUUAAAAAACGUUUGGACACCUUAAGGAAACACCACAAGAAAUGUGAGGCGAGCCAUGAGGCAUACACCACUGCUCAGAUGGACAUGUCUUUUGAGGUGGACAUGAGUACCCUCAGUGGAUCUAUCGUUGACCAGCCCGCCUCAACACCUAACCAUGAUGGGGCCCUUGAAGAAGAGUUUUGUCAGUCUGUGUUGGCUGCACUGCACUCAUCAACCACAGAUCAUGAGCAGGCUGGAACUUCAGAGUC